rnacentral:rRNA from 1 species
UACGUAGGGUGCGAGCGUUAAUCGGAAUUACUGGGCGUAAAGCGCACGUAGUCGGCUUGCCAAGUCGGGUGUGAAAUCCCCGGGCUCAACCUGGGAACUGCAUCCGAAACUGGCUUGCUAGAGUAUGGGAGAGGGAGGCGGAAUUUCUGGUGUAGCAGUGAAAUGCGUAGAUAUCAGAAGGAACAUCAGUGGCGAAGGCGGCCUCCUGGACCAAUACUGACGAUCAGGUGCGAAAGCGUGGGGAGCAAACAGG